UCCGGUUGAUCCUGCCGGACCCUACUGCUAUCGGGAUGGGACUAAGACAUGCUAGUCGUGCGCUUCUAAGCCAUGGUGGAGGCGCGGCGCACAGCUCAGUAACACGUGGUUAACCUGCCCUUGGGACGGAAACACCCCCGGGAAACUGGGGCUAAUUUCCGAUAGGUGAAGACUCCUGGAAUGGAUCUUCGCCUAAAGGGCGCUUAGGCCAUGCUUCUAGGCGCUGCCCAAGGAUGGGACCGCGGCCGAUCAGGUUGUUGGUGAGGUAAUGGCUCACCAAGCCUUUAACCGGUUCGGGCCGUGGGAGCGGGAGCCCGGAGAUGGGCACUGAGACAAGGGCCCAGGUCCUACGGGGCGCAGCAGUCGCGAAAACUCCGCAAUACGCGAAGGCGUGACGGGGCUAUCCCGAGUGCCGUCCGCUGAGGAUGGCUUUUCCCCAGUGUAGAUAGCUGGGGGAAUAAGGAGAGGGCAAGUCUGGUGUCAGCCGCCGCGGUAAUACCAGCUCUCCGAGUGGUGGGGACGUUUAUUGGGCCUGAAGCAUCCGUAGCCAGCUGAGCAAGUCCCCAGUUAAAUCCAGCGAUUUAAUCGUUGGACUGCUGGGGAUACUGUCCGGCUUGGGGGUGGGAGAGG
rnacentral:rRNA from 1 species